CCAGCCUGGAUGAAAGAGUGAGACUGUGUCUCAGAAAAAAAAAAAAAGAAAAAAGAUCAGAUGAGGACUUAGGAAUGAUCAUUGGAUUUGGGAACAUGGAGAUCAUUGAUCAUAGAGCAAAACUGAAUCUCGAAAGAUAAAUGAAGUUUACCAGGAAAAGAAAACUGGGAUGAGGAGAGGAUUUACGAAGUAGCAUAUGCUAAACGAGAGACAUGAGAAAACAUGAUGAUCAGGGAUGUCAUGUAGACUGAAGACUUUGAUACUAAGAGGCAUUUUCACAAUUUUAUCCUGAAAGCAUAGAGAAAACAAAUCAACUUGUCAUUUUCAAAAACUUACCCUGGCUGUAAUCUCAAUAAAAGGACAUCUUUUAAAGUCAAGCUUUAUGAAAAAUUUA
rnacentral:lncRNA from 1 species